GACGAACGCUGGCGGCGUGCUUAACACAUGCAAGUCGAACGGAAAGGCCCUGCUUUUGUGGGGUGCUCGAGUGGCGAACGGGUGAGUAACACGUGAGUAACCUGCCCUUGACUUUGGGAUAACUUCAGGAAACUGGGGCUAAUACCGGAUAGGAGCUCCUGCUGCAUGGUGGGGGUUGGAAAGUUUCGGCGGUUGGGGAUGGACUCGCGGCUUAUCAGCUUGUUGGUGGGGUAGUGGCUUACCAAGGCUUUGACGGGUAGCCGGCCUGAGAGGGUGACCGGCCACAUUGGGACUGAGAUACGGCCCAGACUCCUACGGGAGGCAGCAGUGGGGAAUAUUGCACAAUGGGCGGAAGCCUGAUGCAGCAACGCCGCGUGCGGGAUGACGGCCUUCGGGUGGUAAACCGCUGUCUCCUGUGACGAAGCGGGAGUGACGGUAAUGGGUAAAGAAGCACCGGCUAACUACGUG
rnacentral:rRNA from 1 species